rnacentral:rRNA from 1 species
CAGGGAUUGACAUGACGGUAGUAGUGAAGCGAAAGCGGAACGACCCUUCGGGGAGCCGUCACAGGUGAUGCAUGGCUGUCGUCAGCUCGUGCCGUGAGGUGUUUGGUUAAGUCCACUAACGAGCGCAACCCCUAGCGCCAGUUACAAGUGUCUGGCGCGACUGCCGGUAUUAAGCCGGAGGAAGGUGGGGAUGACGUCAAGUCAGCAUGUCCUUUAUACCCUGGGCGACACACACGCUACAAUGGCCAGCACAAUGGGUCGCCAAGCCGUGAGGCGGAGCCAAUCCUAAAAAGCUGGUCUCAGUUCGGAUUGCAGGCUGCAACCCGCCUGCAUGAAGUCGGAGUUGCUAGUAACCGCAGGACAGCUAUACUGCGGUGAAUACGUUCCC